CAGUAGCCGCGGUAAUACGUAGGUGGCAAGCGUUGUCCGGAAUUAUUGGGCGUAAAGGGCUCGCAGGCGGUUUCUUAAGUCUGAUGUGAAAGCCCCCGGCUCAACCGGGGAGGGUCAUUGGAAACUGGGAAACUUGAGUGCAGAAGAGGAGAGUGGAAUUCCACGUGUAGCGAUGAAAUGCGUAGAGAUGUGGAGGAACACCAGUGGCGAAGGCGACUCUCUGGUCUGUAACUGACGCUGAGGAGCGAAAGCGUGGGGAGCGAACAGGAUUAGAUACCCCGGUAGUCCCUGUCUCUUAUAC
rnacentral:rRNA from 1 species